AUUGAACGCUGGCGGAAUGCUUUACACAUGCAAGUCGAACGGCAGCACGGACUUCGGUCUGGUGGCGAGUGGCGAACGGGUGAGUAAUGUAUCGGAACGUGCCCAGUCGUGGGGGAUAACGUAGUGAAAAUUACGCUAAUACCGCAUACGAUCUAUGGAUGAAAGCGGGGGAUCGCAAGACCUCGCGCGAUUGGAGCGGCCGAUAUCAGAGUAGGUAGUUGGUGGGGUAAAGGACCACCAAGACAACGAUCUGUAGCUGGUCUGAGAGGACGACCAGCCACACGGGAACUGAGACACGGUCCAGACUCCUACGGGAUGCAGCAGUGGGGAAUUUUGGACAAUGGGCGAAAGCCUGAUUCAGCCAUUCCGCGUGCAGGAUGAAGGCCCUCGGGUUGUAAACUGCUUUUGUACAGAACGAAAAGGUUUCUACUAAUACUAGGAGCUCAUGACGGUACCGUAAGAAUAAGCACCGGCUAACUACGUGCCAGCAGCCGCGGUAA
rnacentral:rRNA from 1 species